AACGAACGCUGGCGGCAUGCCUAACACAUGCAAGUCGAACGAGACCUUCGGGUCUAGUGGCGCACGGGUGCGUAACGCGUGGGAACCUGCCUUUAGGUUCGGAAUAACUCAGAGAAAUUUGAGCUAAUACCGGAUAAUGUCUUCGGACCAAAGAUUUAUCGCCUUUAGAUGGGCCCGCGUUGGAUUAGCUAGUUGGUGGGUAAAGGCCUACCAAGGCGACGAUCCAUGGCUGGUCUGAGAGGAUGAUCAGCCACACUGGGACUGAGACACGGCCCAGACUCCUACGGGAGGCAGCAGUGGGGGAAUAUUGGACAAUGGGCGAAAGCCUGAUCCAGCAAUGCCGCGUGAGUGAUGAAGGCCUUAGGGUUGUAAAGCUCUUUUACCGUAGAUGAUAAUGACAGUAUCGGGAGAAUAGACUCCGGCUAACUCCGUGCC
rnacentral:rRNA from 1 species